rnacentral:rRNA from 1 species
AACGAACGCUGGCGGCAUGCCUAACACAUGCAAGUCGAACGAAGCCUUCGGGCUUAGUGGCGCACGGGUGCGUAACGCGUGGGAAUCUGCCCCUUGCUUCGGAAUAACAGUUAGAAAUGACUGCUAAUACCGGAUGAAGUCUUCGGACCAAAGAUUUAUCGGCAAGGGAUGAGCCCGCGUAGGAUUAGGUAGUUGGUGGGGUAAAGGCCUACCAAGCCGACGAUCCUUAGCUGGUCUGAGAGGAUGAUCAGCCACACUGGGACUGAGGCACGGCCCAGACCCCACGGGAGGCAGCAGUGGGGAAUAUUGGACAAUGGACGCAAGUCUGAUCCAGCAAUGCCGCGUGAGUGAUGAAGGCCUUAGGGUUGUAAAGCUCUUUUACCAGGGAUGAUAAUGACAGUACCUGGAGAAUAAGCUCCGGCUAACUCCGUG